ensembl:lncRNA
AAUUUUCUUAUGUGCCUUUAACUGUUUUCCGGUUUUGUGUCUUUUUUUGUUUUGUUUUAUUGAGGUGUGGGAAUCGGCGGCGUGAAACCUGGAGUUACUGGUGCCCUUGGAGCACUGGGUAGCCGAUAUGGCAACAAAGCAAUGAAGACUGGAAUUGGACGUUAUCCUGCAGCCCAGCUUGGUGUUGGAGGCUACAGAUCUCUUGGAUUAGGAGGAAGAGCUGGUCUGAUGCAAGGUGGAUAUGGAAACCAGGGAGCCUAUGGUGCCAGUCUGGGCCCAGGAAUGGGGCUGGGGGCUGGGCUCACAAACGGACUGGGACUGGGAUUGGGCCAGGGAGGAAAACGUGCUUAUGGUGCUGGCUUGGGAACACUUCCAGGAUAUGGAUCUUUAGGGGGCAUUGGCUAUCUUGGAGCACGACCAGGUGUGUCUGCAGAACAUUUGGUUGGACCUGAGAUGGCCAGUCAGGGUCAAGCUGUUCAAGAUCUUAAACGAGAAAAAAUCAGAGGUCUAGACUCGUUUGGAAAGCAGGAGGUCAAAAGCUUUGAUUCAACAGUCCAGUCAUCGAGUCUUGGACACACAACACCUACUGAUCAAGGACAAAGUAACCACCCUGCAAUACCCAAAAGAAAGCUGGCCCCAAAUCAUGAAGUCAUUUUGGGAGCUGGAGGUCCGAGAAGACAACUGCCUGUUGAUAAAGACAACAUCCAAAGUCUGGGUUCUUAUUCAUCUCAGAGUGCCCGAGACUAUGAUUCAUCCAAACGUGAAAAUCAGCGAGUGGAAAACUGUGGAUCUCCUAUUAAUUUACUAGAAAACAAUCGCUUAGGUUCAGGAAUUCAAAAGGGUCAAAGUUCAGUGGCUCAGCCGCAUCUUGGUGAAGAACUCAGACAUCUUGGUAGCACGACGUCACAAAAAGAAAAAGACAAAACCUCUCGACUACCUUUUUCAGAAGCUGAGGAUGUAAGAAGACGUAUUUACGCGACUCCACUGGAUCAGAGAAUAAGAGAUUAUUUCUCUGCUGUGGCAGACAGGCAGUGCGUCAAAGGACUUUUAGCUGAAAACGCAAAUGGAAUCAGAAUCCGUGGGACUGUUACGGUACAAGAUGGCAGAUAUAGUACUGCAAACCUUCCAGCAAAAGGAGGAAGGCGCUAUGGAGCAGUGAUCCCAGGUACUAGUGGAACCCUAAGUGUAGGCAGUGCCUCUAAUAGAGGAGAUGGACAGGAAGCUCCAGGCUUUAAUGGAGAUGAUCAGAGUGCUAAACAGAAUUCCCAAACUGAACAUGAUGUCAAAAAGCCAAAAGCCCUCCCUAUCCCAGGGCAGACUGGGAGGAAUGCCCAGACUCCAAGUUAUGCUGGUGGAGCGGGAAACUACAUGGGAGCAAGCCUGGGGGCUUUGGGUUAUGGAGCAGGGUUGGGACAGGGAGCGUAUUUGGGUGGAGCAGCUGGAAAACUUGGAGCUGCUGCUGCACUUGGGCAGGGUGGUUAUCCCCAAGGUGUUGCAGGAAAGUCGACUGGUUAUGGUGAUGGAGCAACAGGAUAUCUUGGUGCUGUGGCAGGGAACGGCCUGGGUUACGGGAAUGGUGAUGGCUAUGGAGCUGCCCUCAGUCCUGGAGGCUAUGCUGGACAGGUCCAGGGGGGCUAUGGAGCACUUGGGGCAGGCCUGGAAUCAACUGGUGGCAAAUAUGGAGGAGGAGCUGGUCAGGCUCCUUAUGGUAAUGCCCCAGUGCUUCCUGCUGGACUGGAAGGUGAUGGCGGCUAUCCGUAUGCUGCACAGCAGCUUGGUCUUGGAGCUGAAGGUGCUAAAUCUGCAAAAUAUGGCCCUGGUGCAGGAUAUGGAGCUCAACAAGCAGGGUUCGGUGCACAGCUAGGGCCAGCUCAAGAUGCUUUGGGAGAGCAGACUGGCAAAUAUGAUCGAGUGAAUGCUGCCCUGGGUAACGGAUACAAAGGCUAAUUCCCACGACGCUGACCUCUUCAAGUGGAUCAUUACCAUAAAGUGUUCAGUCCAAUGAGGUUGCAGAGCUUUUCUGUGUGAUUUACUCUACUUUGUUAUGUUGUCAUGUCUGUAUGUCUUUUGUUUCAUUCUUCUCAUCCACCUUGUCCUUCUCUGUGAACGGACAUCUGUAAACCAGAUGUCUGUCUGCUUGUCUCCCUCCUCUCAAACCUGCAGCACCCACGGGUUUGUUCCUGGCAGUGCUAAAAAGGCUUGGUGGUGAUUGAUAAACAUAAAUGGAUGUGAAAUGCAAGAAAUAUGUCCC